rnacentral:rRNA from 1 species
GUGACAGGGUUAUCGUUCGUGACCUGCGGAGGAUCAUUAAUGAAAUUUAUGACUGGAGUUGUAGCUGGCCUUUAAAAACGGCAUGUGCACGCUCCUUUCACUAAUCCACACACACCUGUGCACCUUCACGGGGGUCUCUUCGUUAACUCUAAGAGGCUCGCGUCCCUUUACACACCCCUUGUAUGUCUUAAGAAUGUCUACUCGAUGUAAUAAAACACAUCUGAAACAACUUUCAACAACGGAUCUCUUGGCUCUCGCAUCGAUGAAGAACGCAGCGAAAUGCGAUAAGUAAUGUGAAUUGCAGAAUUCAGUGAAUCAUCGAAUCUUUGAACGCACCUUGCGCCCUUUGGUAUUCCGAAGGGCACACCUGUUUGAGUGUCGUGAAAUUCUCAACCCUCUUCACUUUUGUGAACGUAGUGGAUUGGACUUGGAGGCUUUGCCGGGCUUCACCGCUCGGCUCCUCUCAAAUGCAUUAGUGCGUCUUGUUGCGACGUGCGCCUCGGUGUGAUAAUUAUCUACGCUGUGGUGUGCUUGCUUCUGUGGAGACGCGCUUUCUAACCGUCCGAAAGGACAGCUUUCAUCGAACUUUGACCUCAAAUCAGGUGGGACUACCCGCUGAACUUAAGCAUAUCAAUAAGCGGGAGGACAAGCCCAGCAACCCUGAGCCACCCGAUCACCUUCUUCGCGCAGGCCGACGCUGGGCAGUUGGACUAUUCGUCCAUGGACACGAGGCCCUACUGCUCCCGGCCUUAGAGAUCUGAACCCCGAUCAAAUCCCGGUGUCACCAUAACCCUUCCACGGUUCGCCUGGUGCGGUGCAUGAUCGUGGACGCCGUAGCCCUCUCACAAACUACGCGCUGUGGGCCGUAGUACGACGGCGAAAACGACUUUCUUCGUUGAGAGCAGCGGU